UCCCAAGUUUGAUAGCUCAGUGGGUAGAGCACAAGACUGAAUCUCAAGGCUAUGGGUUUGAGCCCCAUGUUGGGCA